rnacentral:rRNA from 1 species
GGAAGUAAAAGUCGUAACAAGGUUUCCGUAGGUGAACCUGCGGAAGGAUCAUUAAAGAGUAAGGGUGCUCAGCGCCCGACCUCCAACCCUUUGUUGUUAAAACUACCUUGUUGCUUUGGCGGGACCGCUCGGUCUCGAGCCGCUGGGGAUUCGUCCCAGGCGAGCGCCCGCCAGAGUUAAACCAAACUCUUGUUAUUUAACCGGUCGUCUGAGUUAAAAUUUUGAAUAAAUCAAAACUUUCAGCAACGGAUCUCUUGGUUCUCGCAUCGAUGAAGAACGCAGCGAAAUGCGAUAAGUAAUGUGAAUUGCAGAAUUCAGUGAAUCAUCGAAUCUUUGAACGCACAUUGCGCCCCUUGGUAUUCCGAGGGGCAUGCCUGUUCGAGCGUCAUUACACCACUCAAGCUAUGCUUGGUAUUGGGUGCCGUCCUUAGUUGGGCGCGCCUUAAAGACCUCGGCGAGGCCUCACCGGCUUUAGGCGUAGUAGAAUUUAUUCGAACGUCUGUCAAAGGAGAGGACUUCUGCCGACUGAAACCUUUAUUUUUCUAGGUUGACCUCGGAUCAGGUAGGGAUACCCGCUGAACUUAAGCAUAUCAAUAAGCGGAGGAAAGGG